GGUUAAGUGAAUAAGCGUAUACGGUGGAUGCCUAGGCAGUCAGAGGCGAUGAAGGGCGUGCUAAUCUGCGAAAAGCGUCGGUAAGGUGAUAUGAACCGUUUUACCCGGCGAUUCCCUAAUGGGGAAACCCAAUGUAAUAUGUUACAUUAUCAUUAAGUAAAUAAAAUAGCUUAAUGAGGCGAACCAAGGGAACUGAAACAUCUAAGUACCUUGAGGAAAAGAAAUCAACCGAGAUCCCCUUAGUAGUGGCGAGCGAACGGGGGUUAGCCCAGAAUUAUAAUCGAUUAUUAUAUUAGUGGAAACGUUUGGAAAAUCGUGCAGUAUAAGGUGAAAGCCCUGUACAUUAAAAUAUAUUAAUCGUGAAUUCAAUGAGUAGGACGGGACACGUGAUAUCCUGUUUGAAUAUAGGGGGACCAUCCUCUAAGGCUAAAUACUACUGACUGACCGAUAGUGAACUAGUACCGUGAGGGAAAGGUGAAAAGAACCCCGGUAAGGGGAGUGAAAUAGAACCUAAAACCGUAUACGUACAAGCAGUAGGAGCAUUGUUUUAUAAAUGUGACUGCGUACCUUUUGUAUAAUGGGUCAGCGACUUAUAUUUUGUAGCAAGGUUAACUAAAUAAGGGAGCCGUAGGGAAACCGAGUCUUAACUGGGCGAAUAUAGUUUCAAGGUAUAGACCCGAAACCCGGUGAUCUAGCCAUGAGCAGGUUGAAGAGUGGGUAAUUCUAUUUGGAGGACCGAACCGACUAAUGUUGAAAAAUUAGCGGAUGACUUGUGGUUAGGGGUGAAAGGCCAAUCAAACCGGGAGAUAGCUGGUUCUCCCCGAAAGCUAUUUAGGUAGCGCCUCAUGAAUUCAUCUUCGGGGGUAGAGCACUGUUUCGGUUAGGGGGCCAUACCGGCUUACCAAUCCGAUGCAAACUACGAAUACCGAAGAAUGUUAUCAUGGGAGACACACGGCGGGUGCUAACGUUCGUCGUGAAGAGGGAAACAACCCAGACCGCCAGCUAAGGUCCCAAAGUCAUGAUUAAGUGGAAAACGAUGUGGGAAGGCAUAGACAGCCAGGAUGUUGGCUUAGAAGCAGCCAUCAUUUAAAGAAAGCGUAAGAGCUCACUGGUCGAGUCGGCUUGCGCGGAAGAUGUAACGGGGCUAAAUCAUGCACCGAAGCUGCGGCAUUGAUGAUAUUUUAUAUCAAUGGGUAGGGGAGCGUUCUGUAAGCCAUUGAAGGUAUUUUGUAAAAAAUACUGGAGGUAUCAGAAGUGCGAAUGCUGACAUAAGUAACGAUAAAGCAGGUGAAAAACCUGCUCGCCGAAAGACUAAGGGUUCCUGUCCAACGUUAAUCGGGGCAGGGUGAGUCGAUCCCUAAGGUGAGGCUGAAAAGCGUAAUCGAUGGAUAACGGGUUAAUAUUCCUGUACUAUAUAUAACUGCGAAGGGGGGACGGAGAAGGCUAGGCUAGCUAGGCGACGGUUGUCCUGGUUUAAGCAGGUAAGGGGGUAUUUUUGGUAAAUCCGAAAUAUUAUUAAACCCUGAGAAGUAAUGACGAUGCAUUACGGUGCAGAAGUAGUUGAUGCCAUACUUCCAAGAAAAGCCUCUAAGCAUCAGGUUAUAUGUAAUCGUACCCCAAACCAACACAGGUAGUUAGGUAGAGAAUACUAAGGCGCUUGAGAGAACUCGGGUGAAGGAACUAGGCAAAAUAGUGCCGUAACUUCGGGAGAAGGCACGCUGGUGAGUAGGUGAUAUUCUUUUCGAAUUUAGCUGAGACCAGUCGCAGAGACCAGCUGGCUGCAACUGUUUAAUAAAAACACAGCACUGUGCUAACACGAAAGUGGACGUAUACGGUGUGACGCCUGCCCGGUGCUGGAAGGUUAAUUGAUGGAGUUAGCGUUUAUUCGCAAAGCUCUUGAUCGAAGCCCCAGUAAACGGCGGCCGUAACUAUAACGGUCCUAAGGUAGCGAAAUUCCUUGUCGGGUAAGUUCCGACCUGCACGAAUGGCGUAAUGAUGGCCAGGCUGUCUCCACCCGAGACUCAGUGAAAUUGAAUUUGCUGUGAAGAUGCAGUGUACCCGCGACAAGACGGAAAGACCCCGUGAACCUUUACUAUAGCUUGAUACUGAAUAUUGAGUUUUAUUGUGUAGGAUAGGUGGGAGAUUAUGAAGUAUAGACGCUAGUUUAUAUGGAGUCAAACUUGAAAUACCACUCUUUAAUAUUUGAUGUUCUAACUUUGUUCCGUUAUCCGGAACAAGGACAGUGUCUGGUGGGUAGUUUGACUGGGGCGGUCUCCUCCUAAAGUGUAACGGAGGAGUACGAAGGUUAGCUAAUCACGGUCGGAAAUCGUGAGAUUAGUGCAAAGGCAUAAGCUAGCUUGACUGCGAGAGUGACGGCUCGAGCAGGUACGAAAGUAGGUCUUAGUGAUCCGGUGGUUCUGAAUGGAAGGGCCAUCGCUCAACGGAUAAAAGGUACUCCGGGGAUAACAGGCUGAUACCGCCCAAGAGUUCAUAUCGACGGCGGUGUUUGGCACCUCGAUGUCGGCUCAUCACAUCCUGGGGCUGUAGUAGGUCCCAAGGGUAUGGCUGUUCGCCAUUUAAAGUGGUACGCGAGCUGGGUUUAGAACGUCGUGAGACAGUUCGGUCCCUAUCUGUCGUGGGCGUUGGAAGAUUGAGAGGAGUUGCUCCUAGUACGAGAGGACCGGAGUGAAUGCACCGCUGGUGUUCAGGUUGUCAUGCCAAUGGCAUUGCCUGGUAGCUAUGUGUGGAAAAGAUAAGCGCUGAAAGCAUCUAAGUGCGAAGCUUGCCUCAAGAUAAGUCUUCCCUGAGUCUAAAAGACUCCUAAAGGCACGUUUAAGACAAAGACGUAGAUAGGCUGGGUGUGUAAGUAUAGUAAUAUAUUAAGCUAACCAGUACUAAUAAGCCGUGAGGCUUAACCUU
rnacentral:rRNA from 1 species